GUGCUCCCUUCAGCAGCACACAAACUAAAAUUGGAAUGAUACAGAGAAGAUUAGCAUGGUCCUUGCACAAGGAUGACACACAAAUUCAUGAAGCAUUCAAUAUUUUU
ensembl:snRNA Gm25207 predicted gene, 25207